UACAGAGGGGGCAAGCGUUGUUCGGAAUUACUGGGCGUAAAGGGCGCGUAGGCGGCCUGCUAAGUCGAACGUGAAAUCCCUGGGCUCAACCCAGGAACUGCGUCCGAUACUGGCAGGCUUGAAUCCGGGAGAGGGAUGCGGAAUUCCGGGUGUAGCGGUGGAAUGCGUAGAGAUCCGGAAGAACACCGGUGGCGAAGGCGGUCUGCUGGGCAGUUGCUGACACUGAGGCGCGACAGCGUGGGGAGCAAACAGG
rnacentral:rRNA from 1 species